GAUGAACGCUGGCGGCGUGCUUAACACAUGCAAGUCGAACGGGAAACCUUUUAUUGAAGCUUCGGCAGAUUUAGCUGGUUUCUAGUGGCGGACGGGUGAGUAACGCGUGGGUAACCUGCCUUAUACAGGGGGAUAACAACCAGAAAUGGUUGCUAAUACCGCAUAAGCGCACAGGACCGCAUGGUCCGGUGUGAAAAACUCCGGUGGUAUAAGAUGGACCCGCGUUGGAUUAGCUAGUUGGCAGGGUAACGGCCUACCAAGGCGACGAUCCAUAGCCGGCAUGAGAGGGUGAACGGACACAGUGGGACUGAGACACGGCCCAGAAGACUACGGGAGGCAGCAGUGGGGAAUAUUGCACAAUGGGGGAAACCCUGAUGAAGCGACGACGCGUGAAGGAAGAAGUAUCUCGGUAUGUAAACUUCUAUCAGCAGGGAAGAUAGUGACGGUACCUGACUAAGAAGCCCCGGCUAACUACGUG
rnacentral:rRNA from 1 species